UUGACUGUGAUUCGUGAAAAUGCGAUUCUUGAUUUGCUUAAGAUCAGAGAAGGGCUUCCACGACGGCGUCGUUUUGGGGGCCUUUUUCUUUUGCG
rnacentral:antisense_RNA from 1 species